UACGUAGGGGGCGAGCGUUGUCCGGAAUGACUGGGCGUAAAGGGCGUGUAGGCGGCUGGAUAAGUCUGGAGUGAACGUCCUGCAUUCAAUGUGGGAAUUGCUUUGGAUACUGUUCAGCUUGAGUGCGGAAGAGGUAAGUGGAAUUCCCAGUGUAGCGGUGAAAUGCGUAGAGAUUGGGAGGAACAACAGUGGCGAAGGCGACUUACUGGGCCGUAACUGACGCUGAGGCGCGAAAGCGUGGGGAGCGAAC
rnacentral:rRNA from 1 species